AACAUCUACCUCGAGUUCUGAACCUAAGCUUUCAUCAGCCUGUAAUAAGAAAUUCAAAUAUAGCAUGAUAACCAAAAGUAGGAGAAUUACAUUAAGCGCCCAGA